GGCUUUGAUGACCUAGUGGUUAGAGCGUCCGCCUCGGAUGCGGGAGGUGUUGGAUUCUAUCCCCGGUAAAGUCA